UAUAAAUUGCAUUUAAAACAGCUUUUAUCAUUAUUUACAUUUCUUGAGCUGAUCAUAUUUAAUUUUAUAUAAUAUUAAAGUCUCUUUAAGUGUAUUCUAUAUAGUCUUUGGUAUUUGCAUUUAUCUUCAGUCAUUUCACUUUUAAAAGUAAACACUGAGGCAGAGAACACUUUUAGAACAUUUAGAAUCUGAUGAUGCGUACAGAAUCUCUACAUCACACCAGAGUACCUGCAGCAGACACAUUUAACAUUGUUGGUUUACAGUAGCAAGAACGAUCGCUGAUUCUGUCCGAGCGAACAAACUGUGUCUAUAUGGCGAACAACGAACUGAAUAUGGAGAUCACGAGUACAACUGUGAUGGAGAAGCCAAAGAAAAACCGGCGCUUAAAACUGCCCUCUUUCCUGAAACCUGCCAGGAAAAACAAGAUCUUCCGAAGGCAGAAAGAGACGCCGCAGUUCAAGCAAACGCCUGACAUUGGCAAUGAUUAUGAGGUGGAGGAGGACGAGGGAGCAACAAAGAGGAAAAAGAGUAAAGUGGCCAAUUUCCUCAAAGCUGCCAGAAAACUCUUCAGGAUGUCCUGCUUUGGCCAGACUGAGGAGCAGCUCUCUGACCCUGCAGACUCUGAUGAUGACAUUCUCUGCCCAUCCGAGUCUGACCAGAGUCUGGAGGUUGCUCUUGUCAUCACUCAUAAUCAUGAAGAGAGUUGUGUGAAUGACGACCUAAAGGUGGAUGAGAAAGAUGACAUGAAGACACACAACACAGAGCAUGUCAACAAAGAGGAGGAGGUGGAGGAGAUGAGGAUGAACGAUGAGAAGGACAAGGAGGAAAAGAUUAAGAAGAAGAGGAGGAGAAAGAGAAAUAGCAAGAUGAAGGAGGAGGAGGAAAAGAAAGAGGAGGAGGUGGUGAAAGAAGAGAAGAAGAUAAAAGAGGAGAGUUUGAAAGAAAAUGAAGAGGAGGAGGAGGAUAAGAAUGAAAAAGAGAUAAAAGUAAAGGAGGAGAAGAUGAAAGAUGAUGAGGAGGAGAACAAUGAGGAAGAGAUGAAGAUAAAAGAGGAGAGUUUGAAAGAAAAUGAAGAGGAGGAGGAGGAUAAGAAUGAGAAAGAGAUGAAAGUAAAGCAGGAGAAGAUGAAAGAUGAUGAGGAGGAGAACAAUGAGGAAGAGAUGAAGAUAAAAGAGGAGAGUUUGAAAGAAAAUGAAGAGGAGGAGGAGGAUAAGAAUGAGAAAGAGAUAAAAGUAAAGGAGGAGAAGAUGAAAGAUGAUGAGGAGGAGAACAAUGAGGAAGAGAUGAAGAUAAAAGAGGAGAGUUUGAAAGAAAAUGAAGAGGAGGAGGAGGAUAAGAAUGAGAAAGAGAUGAAAGUAAAGCAGGAGAAGAUGAAAGAUGAGGAGCAGGAAAAUGAAAACAUGAAAAAGAGAAUGAGGAGGAGAAAAAGAAAUAACAGGAUAAAAGAGGAGAAGAAGGAGGAGAAGUUGAUAGAGAAGGAGAUGGAGGUAAAGGAGGAGAGGAUGGAAGAAAAUGAAGAGAAAGAGAUGGAUAAGAAUGAAGAGGAGACGAAGGAGGAAGAAACAGAGGAGGGAGAGGAAGAAAAGCCAAAGGAGGAGAAGAGAAAAAGAAGCAAGAAAAGAGACAGCAGGAAAAGCAGAAGGAUGAUGAGGAGGAGAAGCAAAAGAAGAAGACUGAGGAGAGUGUGAAUGAGAAAGAGAAAGAGAUGCAAAUAAAAAUGUUGAAAAAAAAGUUUCUGGCCUAAAAUGUUAUUGUGUUAAAAACAGUGCCGAACCAAAGAAUUGCAUUCACAACACCAUCAUUUUUGUCAACAAAAACUAUUUGCAAAAAAUACAUUUGUUGUAUGCAAAAGGGGUAAGCACAACACAAAGUUUUAUGUAAACAAAUGUGCAAAAUACUGCACAACACUGAC
ensembl:lincRNA